rnacentral:rRNA from 1 species
UACGUGGGGGGCAAGCGUUGUUCGGAUUUACUGGGCGUAAAGGGCGCGUAGGCGGCAAAUUAAGUCAUCUGUGAAAUCUCCGAGCUUAAAUCGGAACGGUCAGGUGAUACUGAUCUGCUGGAGUGCGGAAGGGGCAAUCGGAAUUCUUGGUGUAGCGGUGAAAUGCGUAGAUAUCAAGAGGAACACCUGAGGUGAAGACGGGUUGCUGGGCCGACACUGACGCUGACAGCGCGAAAGCCAGGGGAGCAAACGGG